GGACGUGAGGGCGAUCUGGCUGUGACAUCUGUCACCUCAUUGAUCGCCAGGGUUAAUUCGGCUGAUCUGGCUGGCUAAGCGGGUGUCCCCCUCCUUCCACACCGAUCCACGUGCGUCCCUCCCGAAGCUGUGUGUUGGGUCAAAGAGGAUGACCUUCCCCCCAGAGGAGAGGACCGGUCUUUGGUCAAGGAUAUACGAGUAGCUGCGUAUAUCCCCUGCUAGAACCUCCAAACAAGCUCUCAAAGCACCUUAGACAAUGCUUAGCACGUAACAGACACGCAUUAAAUACAUUUGAAAUGAAUUAAAGU
rnacentral:snRNA from 1 species